rnacentral:rRNA from 1 species
CCAGACUCCUACGGGAGGCAGCAGUGAGGAAUAUUGGUCAAUGGGCGAGAGCCUGAACCAGCCAAGUCGCGUGAAGGACGACGGUUCUAUGGAUUGUAAACUUCUUUUGUAGAGGAAUAAUGGCAGCUACGUGUAGCUGAGAUGCAUGUACUCUACGAAUAAGUAUCGGCUAACUCCGUGCCAGCAGCCGCGGUAAUACGGAGGAUACGAGCGUUAUCCGGAAUUAUUGGGUUUAAAGGGUGCGUAGGUGGCGUAUUAAGUCAGUGGUGAAAAGCUGCAGCUCAACUGUAGUCUUGCCGUUGAAACUGAUAUGCUAGGGAGGAGACGAGGUAUGCGGAAUGUGUGGUGUAGCGGUGAAAUGCAUAGAUAUCACACAGAACGCCGAUUGCGAAGGCAGCGUACCAGGCUCCGUCUGACACUGAAGCACGAAAGCGUGGGGAUCAAACAGGAUUAGAUACCCUGGUAGUCCACGCAGUAAACGAUGAAUACUAGAUUUUUGCGAUAUAGUGUAAGAGUCUAAGCGAAAGCGAUAAGUAUUCCACCUGGGGAGUACGCCGGCAACGGUGAAACUCAAAGGAAUUGACGGGGGCCCGCACAAG